rnacentral:rRNA from 1 species
UACGUAGGGUGCAAGCGUUGUCCGGAAUUAUUGGGCGUAAAGAGCUCGUAGGCGGUUUGUCGCGUUGUCCGUGAAAACUCACAGCUCAACUGUGGGCGUGCGGGCGAUACGGGCAGACUGGAGUACUGCAGGGGAGACUGGAAUUCCUGGUGUAGCGGUGGAAUGCGCAGAUAUCAGGAGGAACACCGGUGGCGAAGGCGGCUCACUGGCCCGGUACUGACGCUGAGGUGCGAAAGCGUGGGGAGCAAACAGG